GACGAACGCUGGCGGCGUGCCUAAUACAUGCAAGUCGAGCGCAGGAAACUGACGGAGCUCUUCGGAGGGAAGGCAGUGGAAUGAGCGGCGGACGGGUGAGUAACACGUAAGGAACCUGCCUCAAGGAUUGGGAUAACUCCGAGAAAUCGGAGCUAAUACCGGAUAGUUCAACGGACCGCAUGGUCCGCUGAUGAAAGGCGCUCCGGCGUCACCUUGAGAUGGUCUUGCGGUGCAUUAGCUAGUUGGUGGGGUAACGGCCCACCAAGGCGACGCUGCGUAGGCGACCUGAGAGGGUGAUCGGCCACACUGGGACUGAGACACGGCCCAGACUCGUGCGGGAGGCAGCAGUAGGGAAUCGUCCACACUGGACGAAAGUCUGAUGGAGCAACGCCGCGUGAGUGAUGAAGGUUUUCGGAUCGUAAAACUCUGUUGUAAGGGAAGAACACGUACGAGAGGGAAUGCUCGUACCUUGACGGUACCUUACGAGAAAGCCACGGCUAGCUACGUGCCAGCCGCCGCGGUAAAAC
rnacentral:rRNA from 1 species